AAAAGAUUCUGAUAUUACUGGAAAGACAUUAUAACACAGAAUAGAAAACAGCAAUUUUCAAUCAUCUCUUGGUUGGAAUAUUCAACUACAAUGUACCAUUGUUUACUGUUCGUCAUUUAUUGGGUAAGCAACAUCCAAAUCAUCAAACACUCAAAAGUGUCAAGAUCAAAACUUUUUAAUCUCAAGUUUCUUGGGAGCCAACCAGGAGAAAAUAAGAGGGAAAAAAAACCCAGAAAUAGACACGCA
rnacentral:misc_RNA from 1 species